UACAGUUGGUACCCACAUUUAGGAUUGGUUGGUUGUUGCCGGUGCUAAGGCUCGCGGUGGUUUGAGUGUGAUUUUGGGUCUAGGUUUUGGUGGAAAACUGGUGUAGAUUUGGUUCAAGAUAGUGGUGUGGUUGACUAGUAGUUUGGAGGGAGAUUUGGGUUAUUUUCGGUAGUUGUCUCGCAAGAAAAAGGGAAAAAUAAUGGGGGUUUUGGUGGUGGAUUCGGAAGAAUCCGGUGGAACUUUGGUGAACUUGUCGCCGGAAAAUUAUGAACACCAAAG
rnacentral:lncRNA from 1 species